rnacentral:rRNA from 1 species
UGGGGAAUAUUGCACAAUGGGCGCAAGCCUGAUGCAGCGACGCCGCGUGAGGGAUGACGGCCUUCGGGUUGUAAACCUCUUUCAAUAGGGACGAAGCGCAAGUGACGGUACCUAUAGAAGAAGGACCGGCCAACUACGUGCCAGCAGCCGCGGUAAUACGUAGGGUCCGAGCGUUGUCCGGAAUUACUGGGCGUAAAGAGCUCGUAGGUGGUUUGUCGCGUUGUUCGUGAAAACUCACAGCUUAACUGUGGGCGUGCGGGCGAUACGGGCAGACUAGAGUACUGCAGGGGAGACUGGAAUUCCUGGUGUAGCGGUGGAAUGCGCAGAUAUCAGGAGGAACACCGGUGGCGAAGGCGGGUCUCUGGGCAGUAACUGACGCUGAGGAGCGAAAGCGUGGGGAGCGAACAGGAUUAGAUACCCUGGUAGUCCACGCCGUAAACGGUGGGUACUAGG